UUUGCCAACCUUUUCUUUUUUCCAAAACACUUCGUAGAGAGAGGAGAGAGAAGUGAAAACUUUCUCUUUAGUCUCUCCCACUCCAACAGUAAACCCUAACCGCCGUUUCUCCAAUCUCAACGCUUAGGCGGCCGUCGGCAUCUUCCGCCGUCGGUCUCCCUCCCCCGUUGUCUGUGCUCGCGUUCGCCGCCGUAUCCCUCUGUUAUCAUCCUCUUGUUUCUCCUCCUUGCUUGAUGUGUCUGAGUCCGAUGGAUUCCCCUCUGCCGAAUCAAACUGAAAUCAAAGGGCCUUUGAUCUCUCUGGACCACCAGCGAGGCGAGACGGGUUGGUGAUAACCUUGGGAGCCCUAAAUCCGUCCCUAGUCGCCGAUUGCGCUCCGAUUUGGGUCAGAUCAGAGAUCCGGGAUUCCACCAGAAGCUUUGACGCGUCGCUGCCGUUCUCGCCUCUGCUCCACGGUCUCGCCCCAGUCGAUCUAUUCUAGAGAUUUGUUUACAGGGUUUCAUAGAGUUCCUCCUCUCUCUGAGUGAAGGGUGGUUGUGAGGCGCACCACCGAGGUCCUCUGUCUUUAAGCUAAAUUGAGAGCCUCUAUGCUGUUCCUAUGCGAAUGAAUGGCUCUCCUUCCCUGCUCUCAUCGUCUUCUACCAGGGUCUUGAGGACAACCCCGACGUCGACGUCACCUGCAGAAAAGUUGUAGCUUUCUUUCUCUUUUAGGUUGCCUGCUUCAAGGAGUCUCGUGCUCCUUCUGUGUUUCAACUUCCCUCUCCAAAGCUCCCGGUAGAUCUCUGUCAUGUAACCUUGCCGUCUCCGCCGCAUCCUCUGUGUCGCGUAGCGGAAUGAGGGGCCAAAACUACCGUCUACGCUUGACCAUGUGCUUCAUUUUCAGUGGUGUAGCAGUAGGUUUGCUUUCUAGUCAUCUUCUGCGUUAACUUGGGCUUGCUUUGUCGACGUCCUCUUCCAGCGGAGCUCCGGGGUGUGACCAGACGCUUCCGUCGACGCCUUCUAGAGCCACUUCGGUGAGGCUCGAUCAAACUCGCCUUCAAGUUAUUCUCUUGCUCUCUAUUUCAAACUAGUAGAGUAAGAAGGCUUUGGUUUUUCAUCACAUGAUUCACAUCUUCCACUCAUUUAAAGGUUUUUAAUCAGAUGGUUCUCAACUUCCACUUGAAUAUAUUUUUCAGAUCUAGAUAUGCAGGUUUUUCAGAUUUGGAAGACUUCUGGGACGACUUCCAGGAGGUCCAGACGACUUCGAGAAAGUCCAGACGACUUCGAGAAAGUCCAGACGACUUCCAGGAAGUCCAGACGACUUACAGGAAGUCCAGACGACUUACAGGAAGUCCAGACGACUUACAGAAAGUCCAGACGACUUCCAGGAAGUCUUCUAGAUCUCCUGGAAGUCUUCUGGAUCUCCUGGAAGUCGUCUGGACCUUCUGGAAGUCUUCUAGAUUUUCUGGAAGUCGUCUGGACCUCCUAGAAAUCUUCUGGACCUCCUGGAAAUCGUUUGGACCUUCUGGAAGUUUUCUGGACCUCCUGGAAGUCUUCUGGACCUCCUGGAAGUUGUCUGGACCUCCUGUAAGUCGUCUGGACCUCAUGGAAGUCGUCUGGACUUCCUAGAAAUCGUCUGGACCUCAUGGAAGUCGUCUGGACGUCCUGGAAGUCGUCUGGACCUCCAAGAAGACUUCUGAAGAAGUUUUCUUCCAUAUUAAGUGUAGUCUAAGCUUGUCUUUGUAGAGAAAUGAUAUAUAAUAGUUUGUUUGUGGUAUGUUUUGUGAUUUAAAUGUGUACUCCCUUAGUUGUGACAUUUUUGUAAAAUCAUUAAUAAUGUUUCCCAAAAUGUAAUAUAUGUAAUAAAUAAGA